AUUGAACGCUGGCGGCAGGCCUAACACAUGCAAGUCGAGCGGAUGCAGGGAGCUUGCUCCUGGAUUCAGCGGCGGACGGGUGAGUAAUGCCUAGGAAUCUGCCUGGUAGUGGGGGAUAACGUCCGGAAACGGGCGCUAAUACCGCAUACGUCCUGAGGGAGAAAGUGGGGGAUCUUCGGACCUCACGCUAUCAGAUGAGCCUAGGUCGGAUUAGCUAGUUGGUGGGGUAAAGGCCUACCAAGGCGACGAUCCGUAACUGGUCUGAGAGGAUGAUCAGUCACACGGGAAGUGAGACACGGUCCAGACUCCUACGGGAGGAAGCAGUGGGGAAUAUUGGACGAUGGGGGAAAGCCGGAUCCAGCCAUGCCGCGUGUGGGAAGAAGGUCUUCGGAUUGUAAAGCACUUUAAGUUGUGAGGAAGGGCAGUAAGUUAAUACCUGGCUGUUUUGACGUUACCAACAGAAUAAGCACCGGCUAACUUCGUG
rnacentral:rRNA from 1 species